GGACCGCGGCGCGAGGGGCAGGCGGGCUUGGAUGGCGGCGGCGAGGGGCGCCUGAGCGGGCCGGGGCCAUGAGCGCCGCCCGGCCCCAGUUCAGCAUCGAUGACGCCUUCGAGCUGUCGCUGGAGGACGCGGGCCCGGGGCCCGAAUUCAGCGGGGUCGCCCGCUUUGGGCCACUGCACUUCGAGCGCCGGGCCCGGUUCGAGGUGGCCGACGAGGACAAGCAGUCCCGGCUGCGCUACCAGAACCUGGAGAACGAUGAAGACGGAGCCCAGGCCUCUCCGGAGCCGGAUGGGGGAGUCAGCACCAGGGAUUCCAGCCGAACGUCCAUCCGCAGCUCCCAGUGGUCCUUCAGCACCAUCAGCAGUAGCACCCAGCGCUCCUACCAUGCCUGCUGCAGCUGGACUCAACACCCUUUGAUCCAGAAGAACCGCCGGGUGGUGCUGGCCUCCUUCCUGCUGCUGCUCCUGGGGCUGGCACUCGUCUCCUUUUCUGCCUGCACGAUGCCCACAGCAAAGCCUCGAGUCAGAUCGCCUCCUCCUUCUGAAUGCAGCUCUCUGUGCCUCAGUUUCUUCUGUGAAAUGGGGAUGAUCAUACCUGUUUCAUUCAGUCACGGUGACAAUUAAGCAGUGCAGGUAACAAGCUUAGCCCAGUGCCUGGCAGCACCUGGUAAGUGGUAACUAAAUGUUCCUGCUGUUGGUACUGCUACGCCUGCUCGACUUAGUUGCCACUGCUUCCAGGAAGCCCCUCCCUGAUGCCGCAGGCUCCCCUGAUGCCUGAUCUGGCCCUACCACAGCCCGAUCACUGGGGUUGUAGCUUGGAGGUUCUUGUUGGCUGCGCCACUAGGGAAGAGCCGUGAGAGCUGGGACCUCAUUUGCCUUUCCCUGUGGGAUUCUCAGUACCAGGCACACAGCAGGUCUUCCAUAAAUACUUGUUGAUUGAAAGACCACAUCAAGGAGCAGAGAGAAAUCUGGUUUCGGACAUUUCCCAGGGACUGCCAGGUGCCCUGCUCUGAAAACACAGAGCUUGUGCUGAUCCUGAUCGCCGUGGGACUGGAGGUGGCCCCCUCGCCAGGUGUCUCCAGCGCCAUCUUCUUCGUGCCCGGCUUCCUGUU